ensembl:lncRNA
AUAAGCAGCUAGAACAACUUCAAAAUAUCUCCUUUUGUUUUCCACAGAAAAAAGAAAGUCAUUAGCGGUUUGGAACGACAUGAAGGUGAGUAAUUGGUGACCAUUUUAAUUUUGGAGUAAACUAACCCUUUAAUAGCAGAUGUUUGAUCUUAGCUACAAUAAGGCAACUGGACUGGUUGUCCAAGCCGGACAGUGUUUCCACUCAAUUGCUAUGUGUAUGGAUCACUGAAAAGCUGCGCCCUCAGUAAACCGCAUAGACUGUCUUUUGAUUGUUCCCAGCCUCUUAGAACUUGUUUGGUGAGAGAGUGAAUUGAGAUUAGAACAGGAAUUGGCAAACACAGCCACCACAAUUACCUGUCUCAGAUAUCACAACACAAUAUUAUUUUGGAUUGACGUGAAGAGAAGAGCCUGGCAGACAGUAGCUCCGAGCCACUUCCUCAACCACAUUCCAGCACUGCUAAAUACGCCACUUCAGAACGCAGGAGGCGACAUCAACUGAAUGCGGGCUGCUGACCUCAGCUCCUGAAAUAGCUCUCCAUGGUAAGCUGGAAGGAAAGGCACUUGUUGGUCAUUUUCCCCCAAUUCAUCCUUACAUAUUUAAGUUUGGAUUCUUUCUGACCACAGCAAAC